CAUGUGUUUUCAUACGGAUACACUGAUUAUGAUGUUUUAAGAUACUACUAGUUAUGUUUUGAUGAAAUAACCCAAAAGAUACACAAAUCCCACACACCAUCGUCAACUGAUUGAAUCGUCUCUCUGCCGCCGACGUCUUCACAGCCCUUCGUCUUCGUCUCCUCUCUCAACUGCCCGUUGUGAAGGUCUUCUGUCACAAUCCCUAUUACUGAAGAUGCAUUCCCCAUCCCGUUGUUCUUUCCGAUCACAACAAACUCUCACAAACCCUAAUUUCUUCCGAUCACUAUCUAUUGCUUAUCUAGAGUACAAGUUUCAAGCCGAUGAUUUUGUGGUUUGGCAGAUGUGGCUGUUAUAGCUGAUGAACACUGAAAUUGCUUCGUUCUUACCAUCGCUUGAGGAUGGUACCGCCGGCUUAUUUUUUGUUCAUAUCUACUUCGAUCUCCGUCCAAAACAUGAGCUUCUACCCCAAAUACAGUCGGUGGACUAGAACAUCAUACAUGCAACAGAACCUGUAGAAGCUACAAUUACACGUACCACCACAUCACCUGUAUUUGUUUGCCUUUACCCAGACACUUGAAAUGCUAGAGAAGAAACAAAAAGUGCUUCUGAAGAAAGUUGGUGUAAAGGUUGAACAGAGAAAGGUGUUCACUAGAGCGAAAAACAAAAGGGCUGCAAUACAGAGUGUUUGAAGCGAAAAGUAUUUUAUGAACAACAAAUUCAAUAGCUUCGCAAUUUUCAAUUUCGUAUUCAUGAUCGGGCUAAUUGUUUGGUUCAACAAUGUCAAUGGAGAUUUCAAGGUGUUCGCCCUCUAUUGUCAGGUUUAGAUUUUUACUGUUUGCUAAUGCAACUUUUACUCAAAAAAAUUAUAUAUUACCUUUUUGUAUGCAUUGAAUGCAGCUUUAGUUUUCAGCCUGUUCAUGAAAUGGGCCCUCUUUAUUUUUAUUUGUAUGUGUUUUAUAUAUUUUGCAGUCAUUUAGUUUUUCUUAAAAAUGCAAUUGAUAAUGACAUACCAUAUAUACUACACAAAAAUUGUAUUCAGUUUACGUGUUUAUUAUGAUUCCAUAUAAAUUUUGGCUAACUGAUUUCAUUUGCUUUCGACAUUUUGGUAUGAAAUGCUAAAAGCUGCCAAUUAAAAACUAACAUAAGGUUAGUCACUUUAUUUAUUUGAUUGGUCAAAAUAUCUAUUUUUAUUUAUUUAUAUAUUAUUGGUAAAAUUCCUCACAUUUUUUUUUCUGAGUAGCAGAUUCAGAACGCCUCUUGAUCAACAUCUAUGGCAGGUUUAUUUAUAAAAAAAUUUAUCAUCAAUUUUGGUUUGUUUGUAGAUUUUUUGUUCCAAGAAGAAGAUGAAUCAAUCGAUUUCCAUUUUGGCAUGAAUAUAUGUCAACUUUCAGGUCGGGAUUUUCACCAUGGCGGUUUCAAGUUUCAUCAUUAUAUAUAACAUUUCCCUCAAAAUGGGAAUGGAAGGCAUUAAAAGCACAUGUAGCAUGGAUGCGUUUUGUUCUUCUCUAAACACAUGAUGAUGGUGUUAAGGUUUUUAUUAUCGUUCUUACUAUGUUGGUGUUGAGGUUUUUAUUAGUGCUAAAAAAAGUUGAGUGAUUUGGAUGCCCUUGGUUUUGGAAGUUAAGUAACCAAUUGACUAAUUUCUUCUGAUGAAAAUGGUAUAAAAAUGCAGCCGCCGCCUCAGUAGAACCGAUUAUAAUUUAUACAUGAUGUCUUCUUCUACAUGACAGGUUCCUAUUUGUUAAAUCAACAACCCAUAUACUCCAUUGGAUGCAUCCAACUACUACAAUGUGUAUCUGUAUUACCAAACUUCCGUAUUAUUCAAUCGAUUUGCCAUGUAAGGAUCAAUGUGGUUUCAUUUUUUUAAUGUUUGGAUAUUAUACACUUUAAAAUAUAAUAACUGUGGAAUUUUUUUGCA